AGAGUUUGAUCAUGGCUCAGGAUGAACGCUGGCGGCGUGCCUAACACAUGCAAGUCGAGCGAUUUACUUCGGUAAAGAGCGGCGGACGGGUGAGUAACGCGUGGGUAACCUGCCCUGUACACACGGAUAGCAUACCGAAAGGUAUGCUAAUACGAGAUAAUAUGCUUUUAUCGCAUGGUAGAAGUAUCAAAGCUUUUGCGGUACAGGGUGGACCCGCGUCUGAUUAGCUAGUUGGUAAGGUAACGGCUUACCAAGGCGACGAUCAGUAGCCGACCUGAGAGGGUGAUCGGCCACAUUGGAACUGAGACACGGUCCAAACUCCUACGGGAGGCAGCAGUGGGGAAUAUUGCACAAUGGGCGAAAGCCUGAUGCAGCAACGCCGCGUGAGCGAAGAAGGCCUUCGGGUCGUAAAGCUCUGUCCUCAAGGAAGAUAAUGACGGUACUUGAGGAGGAAGCCCCGG
rnacentral:rRNA from 1 species